GCGAUACAGGGUGACAGCCCCGUACACAAAAAUGCACAUAUUGUGAGCUCGAUGAGUAGGGCGGGACACGUGGUAUCCUGUCUGAAUAUGGGGGGACCAUCCUCCAAGGCUAAAUACUCCUGACUGACCGAUAGUGAACCAGUACCGUGAGGGAAAGGCGAAAAGAACCCCGGCGAGGGGAGUGAAAAAGAACCUGAAACCGUGUACGUACAAGCAGUGGGAGCCUCUUAAUGGGGUGACUGCGUACCUUUUGUAUAAUGGGUCAGCGACUUAUAUUCUGUAGCAAGGUUAACCGAAUAGGGGAGCCGAAGGGAAACCGAGUCUUAACUGGGCGUUAAGUUGCAGGGUAUAGACCCGAAACCCGGUGAUCUAGCCAUGGGCAGGUUGAAGGUUGGGUAACACUAACUGGAGGACCGAACCGACUAAUGUUGAAAAAUUAGCGGAUGACUUGUGGCUGGGGGUGAAAGGCCAAUCAAACCGGGAGAUAGCUGGUUCUCCCCGAAAGCUAUUUAGGUAGCGCCUCGUGAAUUCAUCUCCGGGGGUAGAGCACUGUUUCGGCAAGGGGGUCAUCCCGACUUACCAACCCGAUGCAAACUGCGAAUACCGGAGAAUGUUAUCACGGGAGACACACGGCGGGUGCUAACGUCCGUCGUGAAGAGGGAAACAACCCAGACCGCCAGCUAAGGUCCCAAAGUCAUGGUUAAGUGGGAAACGAUGUGGGAAGGCCCAGACAGCCAGGAUGUUGGCUUAGAAGCAGCCAUCAUUUAAAGAAAGCGUAAUAGCUCACUGGUCGAGUCGGCCUGCGCGGAAGAUGUAACGGGGCUAAACCAUGCACCGAAGCUGCGGCAGCGACACUAUGUGUUGUUGGGUAGGGGAGCGUUCUGUAAGCCUGUGAAGGUGGCCUGUGAGGGUUGCUGGAGGUAUCAGAAGUGCGAAUGCUGACAUAAGUAACGAUAAAGCGGGUGAAAAGCCCGCUCGCCGGAAGACCAAGGGUUCCUGUCCAACGUUAAUCGGGGCAGGGUGAGUCGACCCCUAAGGCGAGGCCGAAAGGCGUAGUCGAUGGGAAACAGGUUAAUAUUCCUGUACUUGGUGUUACUGCGAAGGGGGGACGGAGAAGGCUAUGUUGGCCGGGCGACGGUUGUCCCGGUUUAAGCGUGUAGGCUGGUUUUCCAGGCAAAUCCGGAAAACCAAGGCUGAGGCGUGAUGACGAGGCACUACGGUGCUGAAGC
rnacentral:rRNA from 1 species